UUGAAGUUUUGAUGAUUUCUGGAAGGAAAGGAUCAAAUUUAGUAGAAGUUCUUGUAUUCUUGAAAUUACUUUGUAAGAUUUAUAGAAAUCAGUGCCUUCAAUGUUCUAUUCAAUGUCUCAACCUAUUUUUCUGAAGAAAACUCUUACAGUUUUUAUAGGUAGAAUAAAAACCAUCACCAAACUCAGCAAACAACAUUCAAAGAAGAUAUCACCAAUGAAUAAAGGAAGAGAAAAUGCUUGUAGAUAAAGUGGCUUGAUGUCUAGGAUGGGAAAACACAGUUUUAGACAUACAGCCUUUGUUGGGGAAGUUAAGCUCAGUGAAAGAUGGAGUAAAAGUGGCUCCAGAAGAGAGAAAAUGAGGGGAGAGAGAUUGAUGCUUGGAAUGAAGAAGAGAAUGCACUAAGGACAGAUCUGUUCCACUGGACUGAGUUAAUGGGAAAUGGCUUCCAUGGAUGACAGAGACCAGCACAGCUCUUCAGAAGGCACUGAGUGUGGCUUAUGGAAACUACAGGUCUGAUGUGGCCAAGCUGGCAGACUGUGCAGACUUCCUUCAUGAGGGACAUCUCUCUAGUUUGCCCUGAGAAGCAGUGUCUGACAGGUGUUCAAUCAUGGCAUCAUGUGUAGCAGAAAGAACAGCCACAAAUAUGGAAAUCACCAUACACAAAAAAACCAUGCUGAACUUCAAUUUACUGAAAUCACAUAAAACUUCAUCAUUUUGCAUAAUCUAGUGGAUGAACAUGGGGGUGAAGGAAUGAGUGUGAACACUUAAUGAUCAAAUACAGACUGGAAUUGAAAAUACUCUAAAGACAGUUGACAGUUCUUACAUUCAAGAAUUUCUGAAACACUUGAGAACAGAUCUGUCCUGAAUGCCUUGCAGAUGCAAUACCAUACAGUCCUAGAUUUCUGGUCUCCAUGGGUCUUGGAACUGCUGUUUCAUCCACUAAGAAUCAUCUUCUGUGGUCUUCAAAUUAGUUUUACUUGGACUGCAGCUGCUAUGUCUGAAGCUGUGAAAGGCCAUAAGAUUAAAAGAAAGAAAAAAAAUGUGACCAAGCAUUCCUUAUAAAAAGGGAAAUAGAAAAAG